rnacentral:pre_miRNA from 1 species
GCAUACAUCACUCUAGGGAUCUUGUUAGAAUGCAGAUUCUGAAUCAGUAGGUCUUUGAUCAAGUAGGAAAGUCUGCAUUUCUAACAAGACCCCAGGUGGUGCCAAU